rnacentral:rRNA from 1 species
AUUGACGGAAGGGCACCACCAGGAGUGGAGCUUGCGGCUUAAUUUGACUCAACACGGGACAACUCACCAGGCCCGGACACCGUAAGGAUUGACAGACUGAUAGCUCUCUCUUGAUUCAGUGGGUGGUGGUGCAUGGCCGUUCUUAGUUGGUGGAGUGAUUUGUCUGGUUUAUUCCGAUAACGAACGAGACUCUGGCCUAUUAAACUUGAUGCCGCCAGUCCUUAUGUGACUGCGGUAUGCUUCUUAGAGGGAUCAUCGGCGUCCCAGCCGAAGGAAAGGGAGCAAUAACAGGUCUGUGAUGCCCUUAGAUGUUCUGGGCUGCACGCGUGUUACACUGAAGUGGUCAGCGCGCCGUUCAACGUCCCACUCCGAGAGGAGCGGGCAAACGUUUGAACCCUUUUCGUGAUGGGAAUUGGGGGUUGCAAUUGUCCCCCAUGAACGAGGAAUUCCAAGUAAGCGCAGGUCACUAGCCUGCGUUGAUUAAGUCCCUGCCCUUUGUACACACCGCCCGUCGCUACUACCGAUGGAUGAUUUGGUGAGGUCGCCUAGACUGGCCACUGGCUUAGGCCGUGUGGCCGGGAAGACGCCCAAANCUUGGUC